UGUGAUGCAAAUUUAACAAUUUGGUUAUUCUCUAGUAUAGGGUAACAAACGCUAAAAAAGGUCCGGAAAAGUCGGGAGGGGUACCAAACGACGCGUUUUGGUCACCCUAUUAACAAU